CAAGGACCAAACAAAAUCCACGAGCACACAGCCACACCUCGCUCACCACCGUUCAGACUACGGAGCGAAGAGGGCUCCCGGAAUCUCGGCGGCGGCGGCGGCGGCGGAGGCGGCAUUGGUCCCUGGCGCCUCCGGCAUACGCAGCCUGUCAGGAACAGACCGGCUCCCAAGUUCGUCGUCGUCGUCGUCGGCGGCGGCGGCGGCAGUCGCUGGAACAUCGAGGUAGGGCAUCGCGGCCUUUGCUCCUCCUCUACACUUGCUGGAUCUUCCAUUUGCUUCACUUUGUGUGUAACCCUAUCCUGGUGACGGGGCUGUAUCGGGACCGGUGAGGACGACGGCAGCUAGGCCAGCGACUUUCGGCAAUUCUCAGACAUGGCAUCAUCCACUGAUACAGAUAUGCUGGAAGAGAAUGUGCCCGCCAAGACAACUACUGUUCAAGUGAAAUGGUGUGGCAAUGAUUAUGAUGUGGUGGUACAAUCUGAUGCCGAUGUUGGAGAGCUAAAGCGACGUGUCGAACACGAUACGGAACUUCCUUUCAAGAGGCAAAGACAUAUAAACACUCAGACAAAUGAUGAAUUGGCUGAUAAUUAUCGUGUUUCUCUGUUGGACAGUCCACCCACGACGUUUCUCAUUGGGUUGAACAAACUGGACCUUCCACUCUACUUGCGGUAUUUUUCUUACGGAUUUGCUAUUUUACAGCUGAGUGUUUUGCAAUUCGUUGUCAUUCAAAUCCUUAUCCGUCCGUUCUUGCGCGGAGAUUCGUGCUGGUUUUUGUUUUUGUUCGGUCUCGUUUCUUGGUCCGGUUUUGUUGCCGGGCGCGGUUUUCUUUCUGCCCGUUACCGCCGCCCCACGGCCCGGCUCCCAUUCUGGUUGCUCUGUUUCGAUAAGGCCGAGGGUGAGCUCGAGCGGCGCAACAGAGGAGGCGCUUCGUCCCCGGCCAUGGCGUUUUUGAGAUCUUCCACCGCUCGAUCUUGUUUUCGGUUCCCUUACUCUUCAAUCCCCGGUGUCGCGGUUCGUUGUUCCUCUCUUUCGCUCUCUCCCUUGUGCUUUUGGUUGCGUCUGGUUCCAGAUCUAGGUGAGUUCAUGUCGCCCUCCCGCCGCGCCCUGCUGUAGUUGUAGAUGCCUGAUUUGGUGUCUUCCCGUUGGAGAUGGAGAUGCAUGAUUUUGUUGUCUCCCCACGCCCCUGAUGUAGUUAUAGAUGCGUGAAGUUGUUGUCUCCCCGCACCCCUGAUGUAGUUGUACAUGUGCGAUUUUGUUGUCUCCCCGCUGGAGAUGGAGAUGCGUGAUUUUAUUGUCUCUCCACACCCCUGAUGUAGUGGUUGUUUGCCUUGUUUCCCCCAGUCCGAAGUUGGGGGAUUAUGUAUAUGCACCCUGUAGGUGCGCGAUUCCGCGGCUUUGUGUCCUGCUCUUUUAUGUUUUGAUGCUUCCUGCUCAUGUUUAGUUUCAUUUUUGCAGUCCCUGGUUUUACCUCCUGUUUCGUUGUUGUAAAUGCAGGUGUUUAGCUUCCUUUUCUGCCAUGUUUUUUAUCCUAUGUGUUUGUCUGAUGUUGACUACAAGCAGACAUGUAAUUUGAGUCCAAUUUCAGUGUAAUUUCUCCCAGCCCAUUCAGUGUAAUUUACUGAAUAUAUCGAAUGUAAUUUGUCUGAUGUUGUCCCAGCCCAAUUCAUGUUUAGCUCUUUUUCAGUGUAUGUACAGUGUUAUUUUGAUCGUAAUUAUAGUGUAAUCCCAGUAUUUCAAUGUAAUUUGUCCUAGCCUUACAGUGUAGUUUAUCCAAUAUCUUUCCCGCUGUGUUGUUGAGUGAAUUUUACUGUGUUAUUUGAGUGUAAUCCAUCUCAUUAUUACAGUGCAGUUUGUCCUGGACUUACAAUGUACUUUCACCUAAUAUUCCAGUGUGGAAAUUACAGUGGAUUUAUAGUGUAAUUUGAAUGUAGUUGCAGUUUAAUUUGUCCCAACUUUACAGUGCAAUUUUGUCCCCAGACUUACCCUAAUUUUUCCAGUGUGUCAUAGUGCAAUUACAUAUCCCAAUUUACAGUGCAUUUUGUCCCAGACUUACUGUGUAAUUUUACCUAAUUUUUCCAGUGUGAAUUGUCAUAGUGUAAUUACAGUUGAUUUAUAGUGUAAUUUGAAUGUCAGUUGCAGUGUAAUUUUUAUCCCAAGUUUACAGUGCAAGUUUGUCCCUAGACUUACAGUGUAUUUUACCUUAUUUUUCCAGUGUGUCAUAAUGUAAUUACAGUGUAGUUUAUCCCAAUUUAUAGUGCAAUUUGUCACAGACUUACAGUGUAAUUUACCUAAUUUUUCCACUGUAAAUUGUCAUAGUGUAAUUACAGUGGAUUUAUAGUGUAAUUCAAAUAUAGUUACAGUGUAAUGUCCCAACUUUACAUUGUACUUUACCCAAUAAUCCCAGUGUGAUUUGUCAUAGGAUUUGAGUGGAUUUUUACUGUGUAAUUUAGGUCAGUUUGCACAGUAAUUUUGUCUAGAUUUUCAGUGUAAUUAAGUCCAGUUUAGCUAGUUUUCACUGUACUUUGCUUGGAUCAGUACUGUAGGGCUUUCGAAUGUUUCCUGCAGCAUAAGUUUUGUUAGCUUUUACUUUUCUAUGUAUUUUAAACAUCUUCCGGAAGUUUUAGCAACUGUAUCUCACAUUAAGUAUGAGUUCUUCCUAUGAUAGUCUCAGUAGAUCCUCUUCAGUUACUGCCCUCAUCAUGCUCCUCUCAUGACACAUUUGAAGAGAAGAAUGUCAGUGUUAGCGUAAUCAUGAGCAGCCAAGCGUUUAGAAAUAGAUGAUAGUGUUUGCAACGUCUAUCUGCUUGUUUUGUAAUUUGUAUUUUAUUUUUUGCACUGGCUUGUGCUCUCUACUUACUAGGAACUUACAAUGUAUUUAUCUCAGUUUUUAAUUACUGUAGUUUGAAUUAUAAAAUUUCUAGUUGCUUACACUGGAAGUUCCUAGUUGAAUUCACUGGGAUUUUCUAUUUGCAGUGGGAUUGUACACUAGAAUUUCAUAGGUGCUUACACUGUAAUAAAACUUGUAAGUACAUGCAUUUAAAAAACUUGAGUACACUGAAAUUUUCAAGUUACCAAUAGUAGUAUGUACACUGGAAAUUACCAGCUAGUUACACUGCAAUUUACUGGGAUUUACAGUAGUAUUCACACUAGUUUUUACAUUGUGAUGUACACUGGCAUUUACAUGGAUUUUAAAAAUGUAAGUACACUGGAAAUUACAAGUAACCUACAGUAGUUUUUAUACUGGAAAUUACCAUCAACUUACACUGGAAUUUACUGUAACACUUGAUUUUACGUCAGGAUGUACACUGGAAUUUACAUUGGGAUUUACACUGGAAAUUCAGAAGUGCUGUAUUUCCAUGUUAAUUUACAUUGUAAAUAUUCUUGUAAGUUUUCCGAAAACUAAACUGUAUUUUCCAUUGAACAAUUUCAGCAUUUCAGUGUAAUUUCCAUGUUGAUGUCAACGUAAUUGAUCACAAAAAUUAUGGGAUUUGCCCAGAAAUACAGCUGAUGUUGAUCUAUCUCUUGUAGAUGAAGAAAAUUCCUCCUGAUUUGUUCUUGUGACAGGUGAAGAGAGAAGAUGGUGAGCAGUUGGGAUAGUUGUUGAAUUCCCUCCGAUGUUCUUCCUUCUUGUUCCUCGUCAGGUGAGAUCUGUUGAGUGGUUUGUGGGAGGGGUUUGGCCCUUUUCAUGCGUUGCAAGCUGGGCACGUACUGUGUGGUCCUGAAGAUCAAGGGAGUUGGUUCCUGAAUUUUUUGGAGUGGCUAGUUGUCCAGCGAACCGGGUCAGAUCUUUUCCGUGACCCGUUUUGGCGUCCCAUUUUGUGCUGUCGACAGGUGUCAACUGUUCAUUUGUCAGAAAAUAUGAAUGUUGUCGAAUUGAAAAACAGUCAAAUGUCAAAUAGACAGUCCCUUUUCUUAUGACAACACAAACCGCAGCUGCUCUGUCAAGGCCAUUAAGCUAGGGAACAAAAAAGACUUCCUUUCUGAUUUUCAUGAGGUGCCUACUGCCUUCUUCAGAGGAACCUACACUGUAGGGAGUUUCACCACUGAUUGCCUCUUGAAGUGGUAUGAUGCUAAAGACAAAGUUCUUUCUUCGCUCCGACUGAUGAGCACCUGGAGGCACCCAAAUGUGGUGGUGUUGCAGAAUAUCUACAAGGUGCACCCAGAUUAUCGUCUUAUAAUAUCCACCAGCUCUUUUGAUGGUACCUUAAAUGGAUGGCUCAAGCAUGGUGAAAAGAACAAGAUUGAAGAGAACAGGAUUUUAAAUAUGGAUGGAAAAUUCACCCCUGUUUUCAGCAGAAUCACACUAGAUCUACUUGAUAUCUUGGACAAGAUGAUUAGACGUAAGAUGUGUCCGAAAGACCUUACAGUUGACAACUUAUAUCUGAAGACUGUGAAUGGUCAACCUCAACUUAAAGUAUUCUUCGAUGAUGGUUGCAUACAAAAUUAUCCGCUAAGAGUGUUUCUUAAUAUCAACUUGUUAUUGUCUGAUUUAAUUUAUCGCUCCUGGCCACAUCUGUCUGAUUCACCAACUCCCCUAAUUCGCAGUUUAGGAUCUCAGGGGUAAGGCUCAAACGUAUAUGGAAAAACUAUAUGUGAAACUAUGUGCGGAGAUAAAGAAAAUUAUGACAGCUGACGUUUUGAUACAAAUGCACACAGGGACCAGGGCGUACUGUGAUUUCAUUGAGAAACAUGGUCCUGACUGCAUUGGCAAAAAUUUGGCAAAAGUUGCCAAGUUUUAUCCCAUUGAGUGGAAUGAUGAAGACAAGAGCAAGUAUCUCAUUGACAUAUUCUUAUCAACUUGAGAUUGUAGUGCGGCUCUUAAUGCUUGUGGAAUAAGAUGGCCAAGAAAUGAGUCUGAAGAUGACAUGUGUCAGGAGCUGAAAACACUAAAAGAAAUGAUGGAAAGAGCGAACAUAGAUAACAACAAAAGGAAGGCGGCGCUGAAACUUAAAGGAGCCGAGGGUAGAGCUGCGGCCAACAAGAUCAGGGAAUACAUAUGGAACUGUGAUAUUGACUAUUCAAAUGAUCUUGUCAGGCUCGUAAGGAACCUAUGGAAGCAUUUCUCCACGUACCCUCACUACAUUAAGACGCAUCUUGGGGGUAGCCAAAGUGCUGUUUUGCGCAAGUUCGAGCAGUGGUGCCCUGAUGCCUGGACGUUGAUCUACAACACCGUGGGCCAACCAUGAAGCAAGGAGACUGGCGGCCAAGGAGAUUGCAGGCAAAGAGGAGGCUGAAGCAAUGUUUUUUGGAACUCAGUAGCAUGGAACUGACGAGAGCACUGAAUAUAUUUUUUGACGGUGCAAAACACUGAUUCGUAAACUGCGCUUGCGGGAAGCGUGAGAAACCAAACGAAAGAUUUGGCGGUGCAAAACACCUGAUCUUUUUUGUAAGAUGAAAAACUGCGCUGGAAGUGUAAUUUUUUGGAUAGGAGCGCUGCAAGUGUAAUUUUCUGGAUGGGCGCGCUGGAAGUGUGCGUGCGUGCGUAUGAGACCAAAAGAAAGAUUUGGCUGAAUGCCGCGCCAGCCCAGCUGGAAGUGUUUGAGACCAAACGGAUGAUUUGGCAGCCGGCCGGAUUCUGUAAACAAAUGCUACGAGUAGGAACCAAAAACAUGGAUUUGGUCUUGCUUUA